UACAGGGGGGGCAAGCGUUGUUCGGAAUUACUGGGCGUAAAGGGCUCGUAGGUGGCCAACUAAGUCGGACGUGAAAUCCCUCAGCUUAACUGGGGAACUGCGUCCGAUACUGGAUGGCUUGAGUUUGGGAGAGGGAUGCGGAAUUCCAGGUGUAGCGGUGAAAUGCGUAGAUAUCUGGAGGAACACCGGUGGCGAAGGCGGCAUCCUGGACCAACACUGACGCUGAGGAGCGAAAGCCAGGGGAGCAAACGGG
rnacentral:rRNA from 1 species